rnacentral:lncRNA from 10 species
AGCGCUAGCUGGAAGGAGAGGAAGUUUGUGGUGCUCGCCAGCAGGGCGGUUCCCGGCCACUAGUGUACUGCAGCUGGGCAGGCACACUCCUCGCAGACCCGGCGCUCUCCAAGGAGAAAAGAAAGUUAGUGGGCUUGGGGUACUAUGGCAGAAAUGGCCAGGGAAGGGUUUAUCUAACCACCAGGAGUACGCAAAGAAGAGAGGUCCAGCCAGCCUGCCUCUCAGAUUGUUAAGAUGCCAGGUGUCUUUUGGCUCAUGGAAACAGCUGUUCUGCCCCCUCCCGAACCCUAGACUCACAGCUACACUCUAUGGGUGGGACCAAAAUGCAAUUGCAUAUUUCUUUAUAAGCAGGAGAUUUCACAAAGAAAAGGAGAAGGCAAGAACCACAGAGGCAAAGAUUGGAGAGAUGUGGCUGCAAGUCAGGCAGUAUCUAGCUGCCACUAGAUACUGGAAGAGUCAAGGAAUGGACUCUCCCUGGAGACUCCAGAGAAAACCUAGCCCUUCUGACUCCUUGAUUGUUGCCUUAUAAGACUCAUUUCAGACUUUAGGCUGCGUAUGAGAGAAUAAAUUUCUGUUGUUUUAAGCCACAAAGUUUGUGACCACAAUAAUAAUAUAGCACCAUUUAUAACAAAGCACUAUGUUUUUAUCUGUAUUAGUAUAGUUAUCACCGUCUUUCUUACUUUAUACCUGGUGGAUACCUAUUGAUUUUCUUUUUAGAGGGCAGGGAUCUGUCUUAUUCAUGAGUGAAUACUCUGCUGCACCUGGGAACUAAAGUGUUUGCCAUAGGAGUGCAGUAAAGUUUGUUCAAAUGGAUCUGAAGCUCAGUCUCUGUGGUGCCCAUAUUCUUGUGUGCAUACAGGGAAAGGACAAAGGGAAGGCUGCUUCCUGAAGAGAUCUCCAUAUGGAAGAGCUGCAGAUCACAAACAACCCACACAGCCAUUGUAACGCCUGCUUGCCUGGUCACUUGUGUUUCUGAGAAGCCAUAACUCCAAGAAUAGCGAAGGGAAGAAAAUGCCAAAAAGCAGGGGCUGCCUAACAGGUCUGACUUGCAAGGCAAACUCCUGGCAGGCCUGGCCAGCUUCUGCUUGUCCCAGUGCAAUCCCACCCCCAUAGGAUCUGGAAUUUUUCAGUCCCUUUGCUAAGAUUCCUGAAAUAGACUUAAUGAAGAGCCUCAGAAGUGAAAAUUCCUCUUCACACAUUUGCUCAAGAAGAUUGCUUUUCUCCUAACACAGAAAUCAGCUGCCUUGAGGAUGUGCAAGUUUGAUUAGGGAGUCUGCUCUUGCCUAUUUCUCAAACGGUUCAGGCCCUGACAGAAUCAGUGUCACCCCUAAGGUAUUUGCUUCAAAUGCCCCCCAUAUAAUCAAAACUUAUAAAUGAUAAACCAAAAGUUGAGGUACACUCAUUGCCUUUCAGAAUGAAACCUUCCAAGGGGCCAUGAUCAUAUUGUGACUGGACAAGAACUAUCAUGGAUGAGGCACAUCAUCUUUUGGAACCAUCUAUGGAACAGAUAUUAUUAUUCCAUUUUGCGGAAGAGGAAUCUGAGGCUCAGGCCAGACAGAUGCAGCUAACGUUGAGUGGCAUCCUGAUGAUCACCUUCAUCACAAAAGGAAGGAGUGCUCUGAGGACUGUAGGUGGCUCUCAGAACCCUGACCUCCACGGCAGCCAUCAAGGAGUGGCAAAGGGGGUCCACAGUGGCAUAUGCAGUGAGAUCCAAGUUUUAGGCAUUCGGAGUAGAGCAAGCCACGAAUGAGAACAGGUUCUGAAAGUGACAGAAAAGGAGUCACUUUUUUGGUUCCAUAUGAACUUUAAGGUAGUUUUUUCCCAGUUCUGUGAAGAAAGUCAUUGGUAGCUUGAUGGGGAUGGCAUUGAAUCUAUAAAUUACCUUGGACAGUAUGGCCAUUUUCAUGAUAUUGAUUCUUCCUACCCAUGAGCAUGGAAUGUUCUUCCAUUUGUUUGUAUCCUCUUUUAUUUCCUUGAGCAGUGGUUUGUAGUUAUCCUUGAAGAGGUUCUUCACAUCCCUUGUAAGUUGGAUUCCUAGGUAUUUUAUUCUCUUUGAAGCAAUUGUGAAUGGGAGUUCACUCAUGAUUUGGCUCUCUGUUUGUCUGUUGUUAGUGUAUAAGAAUGCUUGUGAUUUUUGUACAUUGAUUUUGUAUCCUGAGACUUUGCUGAAGUUGCUUAUCAGCUUAAGGAGAUUUUGGGCUGAGACAAUGGGGUUUUCUAGAUAUACAAUCAUGUCAUCUGCAAACAGGGACAAUUUGACUUCCUCUUUUCCUAAUUGAAUACCCUUUAUUUCCUUGUCCUGCCUAAUUGCCCUGGCCAGAACUUCCAACACUAUGUUGAAUAGGAGUGGUGAAAGAGGACAUCCCUGUCUUGUGCCAGUUUUCACAGGGAAUGCUUCCAGUUUUUGCCCAUUCAGUAUGAUAUUGGCUGUGGGUUUGUCAUAGAUAGCUCUUAUUAUUUUGACAUACGUCCCAUCAAUACCUAAUUUAUUGAGAGUUUUUAGCAUGAAGCGUUGUUGAAUUUUGUCAAAGGCCUUUUCUGCAUCUAUUGAGAUAAUCAUGUGGUUUUUGUCUUUGGUUCUGUUUAUAUGCUGGAUUACAUUUAUUGAUUUGUGUAUAUUGAACCAGCCUUGCAUCCCAGGGAUGAAGCCCACUUGAUCAUGGUGGAUAAGCUUUUUGAUGUGCUGCUGGAUUCGGUUUGCCAGUAUUUUAUUGAGGAUUUUUGCAUCAAUGUUCAUCAGGGAUAUUGGUCGAAAAUUCUCUUUUUUGGUUGUAUCUCUGCCCGGCUUUGGUAUCAGGAUGAUGCUGGCCUCAUAAAAUGAGUUAGGGAGUAUUCCCUCUUUUUCUAUUGAUUGGAAUAUCACCAAGUCCAUCCUAAGCCAAAAGAACAAAGCUGGAGGCAUCACACUACCUGACUUCAAACUAUACUACAAGGCUACAGUAACCAAAACAGCAUGGUACUGGUACCAAAACAGAGAUAUAGAUCAAUGGAACAGAACAGAGCCCUCAGAAAUAACACCGCAUAUCUACAAUUAUCUGAUCUUUGACAAACCUGACAAAAACAAGCAAUGGGGAAAGGAUUCCCUAUUUAAUAAAUGGUGCUGGGAAAACUGGCUAGCCAUAUGUAGAAAGCUGAAACUGGAUCCCUUCCUUACACCUUAUACAAAAAUCAAUUCAAGAUGGAUUAAAGACUUAAACGUUAGACCUAAAACCAUAAAAACCCUAGAAGAAAACCUAGGCAUUACCAUUCAGGACAUAGGCAUAGGCAAGGACUUCAUGUCUAAAACACCAAAAGCAGUGGCAACAAAAGCCAAAAUUGACAAACGGGAUCUAAUUAAGCUAAAGAGCCUCUGCACAGCAAAAGAAACUACCAUCAGAGUGAACAGGCAACCUACAAAAUGGGAGAAAAUUUUCGCAACCUACUCAUCUGACAAAGGGCUAAUAUCCAGAAUCUACAAUGAACUCAAACAAAUUUACAAGAAAAAAACAAACAACCCCACCAAAAAGUGGGUGAAGGACAUGAACAGACACUUUUCAAAAGAAGACAUUUAUGCAGCCAAAAAACACAUGAAAAAAUGCUCACCAUCACUGGCCAUCAGAGAAAUGCAAAUCAAAACC